rnacentral:lncRNA from 1 species
UGACACGAUUUUCAUAAAUUGAUGUGUUUAUGGUACAUUCUAGGAGGACUAAAUAGUAAUUUUUUGACUCAAUUGUAUGGUUGAAGUAAGGUAAAAUGAUUGCAAACUGCAUAUGAUUUUAGAACUUAAAUUUACCUAUAUGUUAGUCCAAGUAAAACUCCUGCGACAAUGCUUGCAUACAUUGCCCCACCAGACCCAAUUAUUUGCCUAGCUACUUAAUCCUAUACUGAACUAUUAAUGAGGGAACUCAUGAACAUAAGGCUGCUUCACUGCUCCAAAUAAAGCUCCUACAAAAUGUAGAAGCUGUCCCGCUUCUUUGUGUUUGAAUCUCUUCAGUUGAGUACUGUUGUAUAAUUAGGAUAAACAGGACACAUCCAUCUAAACUGAGCUUUAUCCUAAUUAUAAUUUCAGAGCUAAUUUUUUUGGUUCUCGUUGAUUUGAAUGGCAACCAGGACAAUGUACAUGGCAGCAGUUUUGGGGAGCAUGUGAGUUCACGUCGAUGAUAAUCAAGGUGAGUACUGAUAUGUAAUGUCUAAAGCUUUUGUAUUUAGAAUAAAAUGUUAUAGUCACCUGCAUGAAAACCUCUUGCUGUGAAAUGCCUAUACAAUCCUUUUUGUAUGUUGCAUGGGAACCAUACAAGAUUUGUGCUUAGACACACAUAGAACUUUUGGGAUCAGUGAUAGGCUGUUCGAAUGAUUAGUUCACCAUAAGGAUUUUUGUUAGUUUCAUUAGUCUAUGCUAUUACUGUGUAAGACAUGCUCCAAAAAGCAUAAAUCUUACCACUGAAUUAGGUCUAUUUAGUUGCUGCAUUGCUACAAAGAAAUUAUGAUCAAGCACUGCAAUUUUAUUCUGUGCAAUUACUCAUCUAGAAUACAUUUAAUUGAUGUUAUUGAAUUGCCAAAACUUACCUUCAUUAUCUUUUUCUGUUUAAAUUCUGAAUGUAAUUGCAGGUACACUUUGUGUGGUACAUAUUUUAGCUUCAAUGAAAUUUAGAGAGAAAUGCAGCUUUCAUAUUUUCUUUCUUAUCUGCACUUCUUACCUAGCGAUGAUAUCAAAUCAUUAACUCUGCGAGGACUUAUAUUUGGUAAGGUAUGUGUAUACCUAUAUGCACUGACAAAAAUAGAUGUUUACUUGAGCCCAUCAUUUAUAUGGUAUAUAUGCAGCUUCUCAUCUUAUUCCGACUUCUGCUGCUCUAAAUUCUAUAUGCAACUUCGGUCUCAUCUUUUUCUGACUCUUGAUGCUCUAAAUUCUACAUAGAUUGCUAAUGGGCAUGGAGGGUAUCAUGAGAUUUAUCCAAGUUUCUUACCAAGGGGCAUCACCCUAUUUUGAAUCUGCAAUGCUGCAAACAAAAGCUACAGGGAAUCAAUCUUAGAAGAAAUUCAGAUAAUCAUCUUUUCUCAACUUUGCUACUGCAAUAGGCGAUGAUAGCUCUACCUUCAUAUACAUUGGCUCAUACUGAGCAACUAAGGCCCUACACACGCAUGGAGCCAAUACAAUCUUUUGCUUUCUAUGGGUACAUUAUCACUUACUAUUUGUAAAUAUUGUUGUUUCCACCUUUCAAGAGACAUUGGAUCCAUACCUAUUUUCUUCGUUUUGGUAGAAGAAAUAUCGAUGCCCUCCCACGGUACAGCUCUCUGCAAUAGCUCUUUGGGUUGAUUCCUACAUUUUACAAU